AUUGAACGCUGGCGGCAUGCUUUACACAUGCAAGUCGAACGGCAGCGCGGGCUUCGGCCUGGCGGCGAGUGGCGCACGGGUGAGUAAUGCAUCGGAACGUGCCCAGUAGUGGGGGAUAGCCCGGCGAAAGCCGGAUUAAUACCGCAUACGACCUGAGGGUGAAAGCGGGGGACCGAAAGGCCUCGCGCUAUUGGAGCGGCCGAUGUCGGAUUAGCUAGUUGGUGGGGUAAAGGCUUACCAAGGCGACGAUCCGUAGCUGGUCUGAGAGGACGACCAGCCACACGGGGACUGAGACACGGCCCAGACUCCUACGGGAGGCAGCAGUGGGGAAUGUUGGACAAUGGGGGCAACCCUGAUCCAGCCAUGCCGCGUGCGGGAAGAAGGCCUUCGGGUUGUAAACCGCUUUUGUUCGGGAAGAAAUCCUCUGGGCUAAUACCCCGGGGGGAUGACGGUACCGGAAGAAUAAGCACCGGCUAACUACGUG
rnacentral:rRNA from 1 species